rnacentral:misc_RNA from 1 species
GACCAUAUAAGUGGAAAAAUAUAUAGUCAGAGGACUAUCUCAAUGAUACAAGUAACACUCAACAGAUUACAACAAAUAUCCAGCUAACUUAUGGGUGGAAUCGUUCACUUUCCCCAUCUUGAAAGGAUGAGUAAACCAAUAAUGGUGAAACAUGUCCCAGCAACUAUAGUCACCACUAAAGCAAAAGCAUAUACAAGACUUGGAAAGUUUAAGUAUUUCUGUAUUCUCUUUAGUCCCUUGUCAAUGGCAGGUGCCAGAGCAGCUGCUCCUGCAACCCUAAAUGGCCUGGUCACAUUAUUUCCCGUCCACAUUGCGAUUAUAAUCCCCAACAAAGAUUGGAGAUUUGCAGCAGGAUUAUUGCCGGUGGUCUUCUCAUAGCCCAUAAAUGCAAGCACAAAGAAACUAGUGUAUGUGACACCAUCAAUAAUGCCAUAAGCAAGAACUGCCGCAAGCCCUAGCUUUGCUACCUUCGCACUCAUUUCCGCUGAGUUCUCCUUCCAUUUCUUCCAAAACCCUUUGCUCUCUUGGCUAUCUAAGUUUUUGUUUUGUUGGAAAAAAUUAUCAUCCGUGAUAGAUCCAUUAGCCGAGGAUGAACAUUUGAUUGAUAAAUGCGAUAAAGGGCAAGUGUUGAGCAAGUUGAAAUUGCUACUUUUAGGUUUAAUUUGUAGUGAUGAUAGCAAAUAAGUAAAGUGUCCCGUGCUGCGAGGAGAAAGCAAGAAGCUAGUUGGGAAGCCAUGAGCAGUAGCAGAACCAGC